AUUGAACGCUGGCGGCAUGCCUUACACAUGCAAGUCGAACGGUAACAGGUCUUCGGAUGCUGACGAGUGGCGAACGGGUGAGUAAUACAUCGGAACGUGCCCGAUCGUGGGGGAUAACGGAGCGAAAGCUUUGCUAAUACCGCAUACGAUCUACGGAUGAAAGCAGGGGACCGCAAGGCCUUGCGCGGACGGAGCGGCCGAUGGCAGAUUAGGUAGUUGGUGGGAUAAAAGCUUACCAAGCCGACGAUCUGUAGCUGGUCUGAGAGGACGACCAGCCACACGGGGACUGAGACACGGCCCAGACUCCUACGGGAGGCAGCAGUGGGGAAUUUUGGACAAUGGGCGAAAGCCUGAUCCAGCCAUGCCGCGUGCAGGAUGAAGGCCUUCGGGUUGUAAACUGCUUUUGUACGGAACGAAAAGACUCUUUCUAAUAAAGAGGGUCCAUGACGGUACCGUAAGAAUAAGCACCGGCUAACUACGUG
rnacentral:rRNA from 1 species